AUGUGUCGCUUCUGGUGGGCAAAGCAAGACAAGCAGAAUACUAUGCAUAUGCUUAGUUGGGAGACAUUGACCAAACCAAAGAAAGAAGGGGGAAUGGGCUUCCGUGAUCUAUAUGGGUUCAACCUAGCCAUGUUAGCUAGACAAGCGUGGAAGCUCCUGACCACGCCCGAUUCCCUAUGUGCUAGGGUGCUGAAGGCCCGUUACUUCCCUGCUACAUCGAUUCUACAUGCUGAACCUGCUCAUGGAAUAUCAUAUACUUGGCGCAGCAUCCUCAAGGUGGUGGAUUUAUUAAAGAAGGGAUUGAUAUAUAGGAUUGGCGAUGGUACAGAUGUCAACAUAUGGAAGGAUCCAUGGCUGACCUGGAUGGGAUCGAGAUUACCAUUAACACAACGUGGUAGAUGCCUUCUUACUCGGGUGUGUGAACUAAUCGAGCCAAAGAGUGGAACGUGGGAUGAAAAUCUGGUACGCAAUAUCUUUGUCCUCGAAGAUGUUCAGGUGAUACUAUCAACACCAAUCAAUGAGGAGUAUGGGGACUUCCACGCAUGGUUCUUUGAUACGAAGGGACAAUUUUCUCUCAAAUCUGCUUACAGGGUCUAUGUGCAGUGCAGGGAUGAACAUUUACCAAGCGAGCCAGCCUCCUCAUUUUAA
rnacentral:rRNA from 1 species